AGGAAAAGAAACCAACAGGGAUUGCCCUAGUAACGGCGAGUGAAGCGGCAACAGCUCAAAUUUGAAAUCUGGCUCUCGGGCCCGAGUUGUAAUUUGUAGAGGAUGCUUUUGAUGCGGUGCCUUCCGAGUUCCCUGGAACGGGACGCCAUAGAGGGUGAGAGCCCCGUCUGGUUGGAUGCCAAAUCUCUGUAAAGCUCCUUCGACGAGUCGAGUAGUUUGGGAAUGCUGCUCUAAAUGGGAGGUAUAUGUCUUCUAAAGCUAAAUACCGGCCAGAGACCGAUAGCGCACAAGUAGAGUGAUCGAAAGAUGAAAAGCACUUUGAAAAGAGAGUUAAAAAGUACGUGAAAUUGUUGAAAGGGAAGCGUUUAUGACCAGACUUGGGCUUGGUUAAUCAUCUGGGGUUCUCCCCAGUGCACUUUUCCAGUCCAGGCCAGCAUCAGUUUUCGCCGGGGGAUAAAGGCUUCGGGAAUGUGGCUCUCUCCGGGGAGUGUUAUAGCCCGUUGCGUAAUACCCUGGCGGGGACUGAGGUUCGCGCAUCUGCAAGGAUGCUGGCGUAAUGGUCAUCAACGACCCGUCUUGANNNNNNNGGACNA
rnacentral:rRNA from 1 species